rnacentral:rRNA from 1 species
UACGUAGGGGGCGAGCGUUGUCCGGAAUCAUUGGGCGUAAAGCGCGUGUAGGCGGCCCGGUAAGUCCGCUGUGAAAGUCCAGGCUCAACCCUGGGAUGCCGGUGGAUACUGUCGGGCUCGAGUCCGGAAGAGGCGAGUGGAAUUCCUGGUGGUAGCGGUGAAAUGCGCAGAUAUCAGGAGGAACACCAAUUGCGAAGGCAGCUCGCUGGGACGUUACUGACGCUGAGACGCGAAAGCGUGGGGAGCAAACAGG